rnacentral:rRNA from 1 species
UACGGAGGGUGCGAGCGUUAUUCGGAAUUACUGGGCGUAAAGCGCGUGUAGGCGGUGGAGUAAGUCUGAUGUGAAAGCCCCGGGCUUAACCCGGGAAGUGCAUUGGAAACUGUUUGUCUUGAGUACUGGAGAGGAAGGGGGAAUUCCAGGUGUAGAGGUGAAAUGCGUAGAGAUCGGGAGGAAUACCAGUGGCGAAGGCGCCCUUCUGGACGGUUACUGACGCUGAGACGCGAAAGCGUGGGGAGCAAACAGG